AUACUUACCUGGCGUAAGGGUUAACCGUGAUCAUUAAGGCGGUUCCCUCAGAAGGAGACCUUACCAUUGCACUGCGGUUUGGUUGAAUUCUGCGAGUGUCCCUAAUGCGGACACCUCGGACGCGUAAUUUUUGAUAGUCGGGGCUGCGUGCGCGCUGCCCUGG